UACAGAGGGAUAAUCAUGUGAAAACGUGACUAAUACCGCAUGUCAUUACUGGAGGGCAUCCUCCGGUAAGAAGAGGAGCAAUCCGGUAUGAGAUGGGCCCGCAUCUGAUUAGCUAGUUGGUGAGAUAACAGCCCACCAAGGCGACGAUCAGUAGCCGACCUGAGAGGGUGAUCGGCCACAUUGGGACUGAGACACGGCCCAA
rnacentral:rRNA from 1 species